UACAGAGACUGCAAGCGUUGUUCGGAUUCAUUGGGCGUAAAGGGUGCGCAGGCGGUGCGUUAAGUCGGAUGUGAAAUCUCACAGCCUAACUGUGAUAGGUCAUUCGAAACUGGCGCGCUUGAGGACUGGAGAGGAGACUGGAAUGGUCGGUGUAGCGGUGAAAUGCGUAGAGAUCGACCAGAACACCGGUGGCGAAGGCGGGUCUCUGGACAGUUCCUGACGCUCAGGCACGAAAGCUAGGGGAG
rnacentral:rRNA from 1 species